rnacentral:tRNA from 1 species
GUGUCGGUGGCACAGCGGCAGAGUGCUCACCCACCACACAGGUGGUCCCGGGUUCGAUCCCUGGCUGACGCA